GGGGGUGUAGCUCAUUUGGUAGAGCGCUCGCUUCGCAUGCGAGAGGUACGGGGUUCAAUUCCCCGCACCUCCA
rfam:Ipomoea nil DNA, scaffold: scaffold1317, cultivar: Tokyo-kokei standard.